CAGGCGCUCUCUUUAUCCCGUCUGAGCGGACUGGAAGACCCUCAGCGUAAAGAAACAAGAAGGACGGGAGGAAAAAAAAGAAGGAUACGCGAAGACGCUGCGUCACCGGCCCCAAAGUGAGGAUCUCCCGUCUUCCCCCUUUUUACGUCCAGCCAUUCCUUCUCGAGUUUGACUGUCUCAGCUUCCAUCUGAUCCGCCUUCUGGAGAAAAGCUAAUAACAGGCAGAAACCUGAACCUUUUGAUCAUUCUUUGUUGAACAUUGACUUUGGUCCCAGAAGUUUCUGGACGAUCAAGAUUACCUACGUUUGGUGGAUUUCGUUCCCAAGGAUCAAGCUGGCAGCUUCCUGUUAUUCUCCAUCACCUGAACCAAGGCAGAACCGUACCCUGUCCACCCUCCAAUGCAAGUACCUGAACAUUUAACUAAAUCCUGAACUCACCAGAACUCACUCUUCAGCUCCAGCAAAACCAUCUGGAUUACUCCGCUUCGCACACCUGGGUCCCGACUCCCUCUACCCCUGGCGACCUGACGGCAUUUGUUUAUUGGUGAAUUUACCCGUUCAUGUCCCAGACUCACUGGCUGUAAAUAAACACCUUUCAC